CCUACGGGGUGCAGCAGUGGGGAAUAUUGGACAAUGGGCGAAAGCCUGAUCCAGCCAUGCCGCGUGUGUGAAGAAGGCCUUCGGGUUGUAAAGCACUUUCAGUGGGGAAGAAAGCCUUGGGGCUAAUACCCUCGAGGAAGGACAUCACCCACAGAAGAAGCACCGACUAACUCCGUGCCAGCAGCCGCGGUAAUACGGAGGGUGCGAGCGUUAAUCGGAAUUACUGGGCGUAAAGCGCGCGUAGGCGGUCUGAUAAGCCGGUUGUGAAAGCCCCGGGCUCAACCUGGGAACGGCAUCCGGAACUGUCAGGCUAGAGUGCAGGAGAGGAAGGUAGAAUUCCCGGUGUAGCGGUGAAAUGCGUAGAGAUCGGGAGGAAUACCAGUGGCGAAGGCGGCCUUCUGGACUGACACUGACGCUGAGGUGCGAAAGCGUGGGUAGCAAACAGGAUUAGAUACCCGGGUAGUC
rnacentral:rRNA from 1 species